UGAGAUGGAGUCUUGCUCUGUCACCCAGGCUGGAGAGUGCAGUGGCAUGAUCUCAGCUCACUGCAACCUCUGCCUUCCAGGUUCAAGCGAUUCUCGUGCGUCAGUCUCCCAAGUAGCUGGGACUACAGGCACGCACCACUAUACCCGGCUAAUUUUUGUAUUUUUAGUAGAGACGGGGUUUCACCAUAUUGGCCAGGCUGGUCUUGAACUCCUGACCUCAUGAUCCGCCUGCCUUGGACUCCCAAAGUGCUGGGAUUAUAGGCGUGAGCCACCAAGCCCUGCUGAAUUCUAUAUUUUUACUUUAAAUGAACUGUAUACUCAAUCCAGAUGAUAUUACUCCUUAGCCUAACAACUUUAAUGAUCCUCUAUUGUCACUGAAUUAAAUACUAACCCUUAGCCUGUUUUUAAGGACCCUCUUAACAUGAUGCUGGCAUAGCCUCCCACCUUUAUCUCCUAAUACCAUCUGACAUAUAUGAGCCACAUAUGGCAGCCUUUCCCACAGACUGUGUUACACUUGAAGGCAGACAUCUGUGCCUCAAAAUCCUUGUAUCACCUAUACUUCACACUUAGAACACAGUAGUUACUCACUAAAGUUUUGUUGUGUGCAUGGAAAAUUAUGUACUAGUUCAUAUGACUGUCUGAUAAUUCCCAGUCCUUGUGUUUGCUCGUGGGGUGCUUCUGACGUGGAGGGACCUCAUCUUUUUGUAUGCAAAAGUGGAUGAUGUAGGCAAAAGUGUCAUUUAAAAUUGUGAAUUUAUAUCUGUAUCUAUAGCUAUAUUACCAGUUUAUUAAAAGUCUGCUCAACCUUCCAGGCUUAUUUUCAAUGCCACUUCUUCCAUGAAACCACUUCUUAUCCCUUUGAGUUAAGAGCCAUUCCAUUUUGGGAACUUCAAAGUGCCUCUCUUUCUUACUUUAAAAAAAAAAUUAUUUUAAGUACUAUAGAGCAAGAAAAUUUCAUGUGGUCCCUAACCUUAUAUCUGUGUUGUAUUUGAUCAUGAGGUUUACUUCUGUUAGACCUUUGAUUCUUAAGAGUAAUUUGAAGACUUGCCAUCCCCUCUGGUUCCUCACAAUCUGUUUCUGAUCCCUAGUUCCCUGCAGUAUUUCCCAGCAAUCGGCCACUUCAUUUAGCAUUUUGUGAACUGGGGUUGCGUCUUGCUCAGAUUUAGGUCCCUGAAGCACUUAACAUGAUGGCUUACCCAUAGAAGUUUCUCAAUAUUUGCGGAUCUGAAUUAAGUGAAAUGAUAUAUAUGGCUACCAAUAUCUUCCAUUCUAAGUGAAAAAUGAGUCAAAGAUUCAGACCUAUGUUUAUUUUGUUUUCAAUAGCCAGAGAAAAAGUGACAAUGAUCUUCUCAUGGAAUUGGCAAAAGGAGCAAUGUAACCAUGUGUACCACAAAGAGUAGCUGUCUCUGCCAUUUGGUUUGGAGAAUAAAUGAAAUGAAGCCAUUAUGAGGGCGGAAACAUAAAUAUUAUGCAAACACAGGCAUGUUUCGGUGGAGUUAAUCUCUGUGCAAUCCUUUCCUUCCAAGCCCAGCAGCUCUGCUGGAUUCUAGUUACCAACCAAGCCCUGGGCAGGCCCUUCAAAUGCAUCAUGGCCUUGUUUCUAUCCCCAGGCUGGUAAGUCAGUUACUUAAAAUUACAUGUUGUUUUCAGGAACCUGUAUUUGUGAUUUGAAGUUGGUCACUCCUUAAUUGGCUAACAGGUAUAAUUCUAGAAUUUUCCUAAUUAUUCCCAUGAAUAUAAAAUGUUUUGAACCUUGUAGGAUUUUUUUUUUCCUCUGGGACGUGAUUUACUCCUGGCUGCUCUUUUUCAAAAAAUAAACUGGAUGAUGGCCAAAAUCAUAGGAUGAAAAAAUAGCCCUGAUGAAAGUGUUCUGGACAACUCUUCCAAAGCAGCCACUGGAUUAUGGGAAAAACGUUUACAGGGAGAAACCACAGAGCAUGGUAAGCAGCUUCAGAUUUGGUCAUCAAUAAGUCUAUUGUUCUUAUCUGGGAACCUUUUUGUUCGUGGAAGUCCUUCAAAAGGGCCACACCCCUUCAGUUCUGUAGAGGUUCCCAGACAGUGACUUGGGGUGGAAAAUAGAAGGAGGACUUUUUGUUUCUGACGGGGAGCUUAGCCAGGCCUUACUAGGGACUGAUCUUACUUAUAGCAGUGAGGCAGGCACAUGGUCGAUGUGCAUAUGAGCUGCAGCUCAGAGGUCACUCCCAGGCUGGGUCAGGUGUCAUCUGAGUUAGGAGAUCCAAGUGUGAGGACCAGCAGCUCUAAGUGGGAAGCAAGUUAUUUUAUUUCAUCCCCAGGAUAUUUAUUUGUAAUAUGAGUACAAUAAUUCCUGGGUCUAGCCUCUUUCACAAAGUUGUUACAUUGAUCAAAUCAGAAGUGAGAGAAAUAAAAAAAAGGUAACAUUGUUAUCACAGCAUUUUGAGAUGCUGAGAAUGUUAUAGAAAUAUAGCAUGCUCUUAUACUUUUAUUUCAUUUUGAAAGAGGCAAUACCCUUUUAUCUUUAUUAAGUGCCCUCAGAGAUUAAUGAGAGAUGUUUAAAUGAGUGUGAAUAUGUGAAUUCACAGCCUUUCUCCACUGCAGAAUGGUGAAACGAUUCCAAGAUGUUCUUCCUGGGUUUGAAGUCUUUGCCUGAACACAAUUAUGCAAUGAUUUGAAAGUCAGUUCCAAGAUCUCUUGAACUGCUUAUGAGACAUUUUGUUUAUUAAAUAAUUUUCUGAAAUUGACUAGGUUUUAGUGACUCAUGGAUUCAUGCAAACAUAUGCAUGACAUUUAGAAUUAUAGAACUAGAGGGGAAGAGAUCAGCUAAUGCACCCUGUGUUUUACAGUAAAGGAAAUGGUGCCAAGGAGUCUAAAUGACUUGCCCAGAGCUAUAUGAAGGUGUCCAUGAGAAAACUGGGGCUAGAACCCAGACCUCCAAUUCCUGGCUCGGAGUUCUUUCUUUUGAACAGAUUUUCCGUGAAUAUUCUGAUUACAUAUGCUAUUUCCAUGGUCAAUGCUAAGCCCUUGGAAAAAAACAAAAAUGACAUUUUGCCCCCCAGUGAUCUCAAGGAUAUAUUUGGCAUUAAACUCGGGACAAAAGAAGACACAAACUUUAUCUUGUGGUUUGGGUCCUCCAAUCCUCAUAAAAGUGUGGUUUCACCUGUUACCUCAUAAAGGUGCCAUUGCUGUAUGCACAUCUGAAUCUGUUUACAAUUUGAGAAUAGAGAUUAUUGCCUGCUCCUCCAAGCCCUUCACUGUAGAAUGGAAGCCUGUGAUUUUCCUGGCAUCAUGCAUGACUGAGAAGGUCAGUGUGGCUAAUUCUGAGCUUCAACAUCAGGAAGCCCUUAGUUCUUCACACUGAGCCACCUCCUGCAGCACAGUCAUCCUUGGUAAUAAAGCUGAUAUUUUAAUCAAUAUCUGUCUUACUCUUUCAUCUUGUCCCUCAUUUGGUUUAGAAUUCAGGUGGGGAAAACAAUUGUUUACUUUAUCGGACUCCUAACCAUGUGCUUGGCAGACACAGGUGAAUAAAUACAGUCUCUAUUCUCAGGAAAUUCAUAGAGCAAUGGUGGGAGGUGGGUAGAUGGAAAUGGAAGCAAAAAAAA